rnacentral:rRNA from 1 species
CCUACGGGUGGCAGCAGUCGAGAAUCAUUCACAAUGGGGGAAACCCUGAUGGUGCGACGCCGCGUGGGGGAAUGAAGGUCUUCGGAUUGUAAACCCCUGUCAUGUGGGAGCAAAUUAAAAAGAUAGUACCACAAGAGGAAGAGACGGCUAACUCUGUGCCAGCAGCCGCGGUAAUACAGAGGUCUCAAGCGUUGUUCGGAAUCACUGGGCGGAAAGCGUGCGUAGGCUGUUUCGUAAGUCGUGUGUGAAAGGCGCGGGCUCAACCCGCGGACGGCACAUGAUACUGCGAGACUAGAGUAAUGGAGGGGGAACCGGAAUGCUCGGUGUAGCAGUGAAAUGCGUAGAUAUCGAGAGGAACACUCGUGGCGAAGGCGGGUUCCUGGACAUUAACUGACGCUGAGGCACGAAGGCCAGGGGAGCGAAAGGGAUUAGAUACCCGAGUAGUC